rnacentral:lncRNA from 1 species
UUCUCUUAUAUAUAUAUAUAACCAAAAGGAACUUACAAACACAUAUGUAUAUCUAUCUAUAUAGUAUAAUAUCAGUGUGUGUAUGUGAGAUAGAGUGUGCACGAAACACAAAAGUGAGAGUUCCAAAACGAGUUAAACAAACUAGUUAUUAAAAAAACAAAUAAAUUUGUCAAGGUUUGAAAAGGAGGCCACGCCAUUGAGGCUCGUUCUCGGGGUUGUCUGUCUUGGGACAAACACAAGUUUCAAACCCAAUUUGUCGAGUCUUCACCUUUCUGUCUUUGUUUUGUCUCUUUUCUUUCGCAUAUCCCACACGUUCUGUAUCUAUUUAUCUACCAUUCUCCAUUUAAGUUUUUUCAUAUAUAUUAUCAUCUUAUACAAAAUGUAUGUAUAAGUGUAAUGAAAAAAAAAAAACAAAAUGUAUGUAUAUAAAGAGCUCAUAGUGGAUCAUCGUUCAGAACCCUUCUUUACACAUGUAAUUUAUCUUCAUUUUUUGUGUUACAAAAAUUGGUUCUACUUUUACUAUAUGGAAGAUCAAACUAGUUAUUAAAAAAACAAAUAAAUUUGUCAAGGUUUGAAAAGGAGGCCACGCCAUUGAGGCUCGUUCUCGGGGUUGUCUGUCUUGGGACAAACACAAGUUUCAAACCCAAUUUGUCGAGUCUUCACCUUUCUGUCUUUGUUUUGUCUCUUUUCUUUCGCAUAUCCCACACGUUCUGUAUCUAUUUAUCUACCAUUCUCCAUUUAAGUUUUU